rnacentral:rRNA from 1 species
UACAGGGGGGGCAAGCGUUGUUCGGAAUUACUGGGCGUAAAGGGUUCGUAGGUGGCUCACUAAGUCACACGUGAAAUCCCUCAGCUUAACUGGGGAACUGCGUGUGAAACUGGAGAGCUUGAGGGUAGGAGAGGAAUGCGGAAUUCCAGGUGUAGCGGUGAAAUGCGUAGAUAUCUGGAGGAACACCGGUGGCGAAGGCGGCAUUCUGGACUAAUUCUGACACUGAUGAACGAAAGCCAGGGGAGCAAACGGG